GAUGAACGCUAGCGGCAGGCUUAAUACAUGCAAGUCGUGGGGCAGCAUGAAGUAGCAAUACUUUGCUGGCGACCGGCAAACGGGUGCGGAACACGUACACAACCUUCCUUUUAGUGGGGAAUAGCCCAGAGAAAUUUGGAUUAAUACCCCGUAACAUAGCGAUGUGGCAUCACAUUGCUAUUAUAGCUUCGGCGCUAGAUGAUGGGUGUGCGUAUGAUUAGAUAGGUGGCGAGGUAACUGCUCACCAAGUCUACGAUCAUUAGCUGCUGUGGGGGCAUGAUCCGCCAACAGGGCACUGAGACAAGGGCCCGACUACUACGGGAGGCAGCAGUAAGGAAUAUUGGUGAAUGGACGAAAGUCUGAACCAGCCAUGCCGCGUGAAGGAUUAAGGUCCUCUGGAUUGUAAACUUCUUUUAUAUGGGACGAAAAAAGGUAUUUCUAGAUCACUUGACGGUACCAUAUGAAUAAGCACCGGCUAACUCCGUGCCAGCCGCCGCCGUAAAAC
rnacentral:rRNA from 1 species